rnacentral:rRNA from 1 species
CACGUAGGGGGCAAGCGUUGUCCGGAUUCAUUGGGCGUAAAGAGCUCGUAGGCGGCUCAGUAAGUCGGGUGUGAAACCCCUCAGGCUCAACCUGGGGACGCCACUCGAUACUGCUGUGGCUAGAGUCCAGUAGAGGAGUGUGGAAUUCCCGGUGUAGCGGUGAAAUGCGCAGAUAUCGGGAGGAACACCAACGGCGAAGG